CCUACGGGAGGCAGCAGUGAGGAAUAUUGGUCAAUGGGCGGGAGCCUGAACCAGCCAAGUCGCGUGAGGGAAGACGGUCCUAUGGAUUGUAAACCUCUUUAGGCGGGGAGCAAUGCCGGGCACGCGUGCCCGGAGGGAGAGUACCCGCAGAAUAAGCAUCGGCUAACUCCGUGCCAGCAGCCGCGGUAAUACGGAGGAUGCGAGCGGUAUCCGGAGUUAUUGGGUUUAAAGGGUGCGUAGGCGGAUUUUUAAGUCAGCGGUAAAAUGUCCGGGCUCAACCCGGGCCGGCCGUUGAAACUGGGGAUCUUGAGUGGGCGAGAAGUAUGCGGAAUGCGUGGUGUAGCGGUGAAAUGCAUAGAUAUCACGCAGAACUCCGAUUGCGAAGGCAGCAUACCGGCGCCCGACUGACGCUGAGGCACGAAAGCGUGGGGAUCGAACAGGAUUAGAUACCCCAGUAGUC
rnacentral:rRNA from 1 species